GCUGAUAGAACCCAGCAUUUCUGACUUCUCUGCUAGGUUUUUGUUACUAUAGAGACAGAAGCCAGGAGAGAGGCAACGAUGUAAACACAGAGCUGGCUCUUGGAUGUGGGGGUAAAAGAAAUGUCAGAAAGAUGAGACAAUCAAAUGGAAAGGAAGAGGGAUUCGACUAGUUUGGCUGCUUUUUUAGCGAACAGGAAGAGAGAUGUUGGAGAAAAAUCUAACUGAAAACCUACUUACUGUAUAGCAGGCAUCAUGGCAGAUAAUUGUAGUCCUCACUCCUCAUCAAGGACUCUUCUCUUAGCUUCAGGCAUGGAACAUUACAGAAAACCACAACCAAUUAAAAUGUGGGUAGCCCAGUCCCAUACUUAAGACUCAACUGUAAGUUUUAGACACGACAAAUAUAAUUAAAGUAUUUGUCAUGAAUAUUUAACACUGAAAUUGAAACAUGUUCUAAGUCUGAAAUACAUGCACUGCAUUCGUUGAUUUAGCAUGAAAAAGAAUACAAAAUAUUUUAAGAAUUUUAUAGUCAUUAUACACUAAUGACUGUUAUUUUGGUGUUAUUUGGUGUUAUAAUGGUGUUAUUUUGGACACAAUUGGAUUAAAUAUAUUACUAAAAUUUUCACUUUACUUCUUUAGUAUAU